rnacentral:rRNA from 1 species
CCUACGGGUGGCAGCAGUGAGGAAUAUUGGUCAAUGGGCGGACGCCUGAACCAGCCAAGUCGCGUGAGGGAAGACUGCCCUAUGGGUUGUAAACCUCUUUUGUCAGGGAGCAAUUGGCGCUACGUGUAGCGUUAUCGAGAGUACCUGAAGAAAAAGCAUCGGCAAACUCCGUGCCAGCAGCCGCGGUAAUACGGGGGAUGCGAGCGUUAUCUGGAUUUAUUGGGUUAAAAGGGUGCGUAGGCGGAAUGCCAAGUCAGCGGUAAAAGCGCGGGGGUCAACCUCGCUCCGCCGUUGAAACUGGCGUUCUAGAGUGGGCGAGAAGGAUGCGGAAUGCGUGGUGUAGCGGUGAAAUGCAUAGAUAUCACGCAGAACUCCGAUUGCGAAGGCAGCAUACCGGCGCCCAACUGACGCUGAAGCACGAAAGCGUGGGUAGCGAACAGGAUUAGAUACCCGGGUAGUC